rnacentral:tRNA from 1 species
GGAGAGAUGGCUCAGUGGUUAAGAACACAGACUGCUCUUCUGGAGGUCCUGAGUUCAAAUCCCAGCACCCACA